AUACAAAUCACCUGGGGAUCUUAUUAAAUUGCCGAUUUUGAUUCAGCACAUCAAGGUGUGGACUUGAGUCUUCAUUUCUAACAAGCUCCCAGGUGAUGUUGCU
rnacentral:miRNA from 1 species